GCCUCUCGGAAAAGAGGCGGGGAAGGCAGGUAGACGUUAUCCUAAAUAUGGCGUCCGCGGCGCCUGGUACUAUUUAGGCUUCCUUUUUUUAACCUGUUUAUCGUUUGUUUCCUAAUCCUUCUUUAAUAUGAUAUAAGGCCAGAGACUUUAGUUUCUCAGUGCCUCGCACAUAGUAGGCGCUCAAGUGUUUGUUCCCUGAAAUAAUACUGCGAAUUAACUUCACGUAUGAAAAUAACGGACAGCACGCCGGUGACAACGGCCAAACGUUUGUUACACAUUUACUAUGUACCAGUUUUCUGGACCAGUCACCUAACCUAAAACCUCAAGCAAAAUGUUUUCCAGCAGGCAGAAGGGCCAUCUCACAGAUUUCUGCCACAUCACAGGAAGCCACAGACGUCCUCCACCCUCAAGCCAGGCAGUCACCAUGAUUGGAGGGGCCAGGCCUGUCAGGACUGAGAUCAAAAGACUGAAAACCAACACCAGAGUGGAAAAAGAACAUCUUAGAAUCCUUUUGGGGACCAGUGAUGCAAAGAUCUGGUGUCUCCCUCUUCUGAUAUUGGCACUGCAGAAAUUCCCUAACCUAGACACAGCCCUGAGGAAGGGAGCGGGCCUGCUUUGAUAAGAUUAUUGUUAAUGCAGUCAAGUGGGGACUUAAAAUAGAAAUAAUGCUUACAGAAAACAAAAACUUCUAUUUGUUACACACUUGAAUUGUAGAUGGAAGUUUAUUAUCUGUGAGUAUCAUACAGUAAUCAUAAAUUUUUAAGUUCAGUAUGAGAGUUUUCCCUUCACUCGAAGAUCAUGGGUUUUAUUCGUUAAUUUAACAUGUUUAUUUGGUGCCUGUAGUUGUCAAGAACAAAGCUGAGGGAAACCAACAGACUGCCUUGCCUGACAUCAUCACCUCAUUAGGUUAUGAGUUCCUCUAGGACAGGGCAGUAUAUUUCCCUUGAAUCUCCCACCUGGUCACUGUCAUACACAGUGCUUGCACUUAGUCGUUACUCAAUAAAUGUUCAUUGAAUCAUAAAAUAUUGAGAA